UGGCUGCAGUGGGGAAUUUUGGACAAUGGGCGAAAGCCUGAUCCAGCAAUACCGCGUGCAGGAAGAAGGCCCUCGGGUUGUAAACUGCUUUUGUACGGAACGAAACGGCGUGCUCUAAUAAAGUGCGCUAAUGACGGUACCGUAAGAAUAAGCACCGGCUAACUACGUGCCAGCAGCCGCGGUAAUACGUAGGGUGCAAGCGUUAAUCGGAAUUACUGGGCGUAAAGCGUGCGCAGGCGGUUUUGUAAGACAGGCGUGAAAUCCCCGGGCUUAACCUGGGAAUUGCGCUUGUGACUGCAAGGCUAGAGUACGGUAGAGGGGGGUAGAAUUCCGCGUGUAGCAGUGAAAUGCGUAGAUAUGCGGAGGAACACCGAUGGCGAAGGCAGCCCCCUGGACCUGUACUGACGCUCAUGCACGAAAGCGUGGGGAGCAAACAGGAUUAGAUACCCGGGUAGUC
rnacentral:rRNA from 1 species